AAUAGAUACCCUGGUAGUCCACGCCGUAAACGAUGAGUGCUAAGUGUUAGGGGGUUUCCGCCCCUUAGUGCUGCAGCUAACGCAUUAAGCACUCCGCCUGGGGAGUACGGUCGCAAGACUGAAACUCAAAGGAAUUGACGGGGGCCCGCACAAGCGGUGGAGCAUGUGGUUUAAUUCGAAGCAACGCGAAGAACCUUACCAGGUCUUGACAUCCCACUGACCGCUAUGGAGACAUAGUUUUCCCUUCGGGGACAGUGGUGACAGGUGGUGCAUGGUUGUCGUCAGCUCGUGUCGUGAGAUGUUGGGUUAAGUCCCGCAACGAGCGCAACCCUUGAUCUUAGUUGCCAUCAUUUAGUUGGGCACUCUAAGGUGACUGCCGGUGACAAACCGGAGGAAGGUGGGGAUGGACGUCAAAUCAUCAUGCCCCUUAUGACCUGGGCUACACACGUGCUACAAUGGACGGUACAAACGGUUGCCAACCCGCGAGGGGGAGCUAAUCCGAUAAAACCGUUCUCAGUUCGGAUUGUAGGCUGCAACUCGCCUACA
rnacentral:rRNA from 1 species